UACGUAGGUGGCAAGCGUUGUCCGGAAUUACUGGGCGUAAAGGGCGCGUAGGCGGUUAUCCAAGUCAGGGGUGAAAACCUUGGGCUCAACUCAGGGCCUGCCUCUGAAACUGGGUAACUUGAGGGCAGGAGAGGGGAGUGGAAUUCCCAGUGUAGCGGUGAAAUGCGUAGAUAUUGGGAGGAACACCAGUGGCGAAGGCGGCUCUCUGGCCUAACCCUGACGCUGAGGAGCGAAAGCGUGGGGAUCAAACAGGAUUAGAUACCCCGGUAGUCCCUGAGCGGGCU
rnacentral:rRNA from 1 species